CUCUCUACUCACAGUCACUCUCAGUGUGUUCUGUAUAACCAUGUUACUCUGUCUGAUCAUCUGGCUGGUUCUUGAUGUAUUCUGCUUCGAGUGCACAGGAGACCAUGUCCAACAGCAACCAGAAGGUGUCAUUGCUACAGAAGGAGGACUGGUAACACUGAGUUGUCAAUAUAACACCAGUGCUAAUAAUAAUGCAUAUCUAUUUUGGUACAAACAAGAAGAAAAUGACUUCCCUAAACAUAUGCUGACCCGUUUUUCUUUUGGAUCUGGAGACAAUGCUGGAGGGUUCAAGGGUAGAUUUGAUGCAAGUCUAAAUGCCAAGACACAAUCAGUCCCCUUGACGAUCCAGAGGUUGCAGCUGUCUGACUCUGCUCUGUACUACUGUGCUCUGCAGCCCACAGUGGCAGGAAACCUGUGCACACUGUACAAAAACCUGUAAAGAAAACUGACAUCCCCCAAAUA